rnacentral:tRNA from 1 species
AACUAACUAGCCUAGUGGUUAAGGUUAUGGAUCGCCAAUCCGGAGACGGUGGGUUCGAUUCCCGUUCCGGUUG